rnacentral:rRNA from 1 species
GAGGAAUAAGCAUCGGCUAACUCCGUGCCAGCAGCCGCGGUAAUACGGGGGAUGCAAGCGUUAUCCGGAAUCAUUGGGCGUAAAGCGCCUGUAGGUUGUUUAAUAAGUCUGUUGUUAAAGACUAGGGCUUAACCCUAGAAAAGCAAUGGAAACUACUAGACUAGAGUAUGGCAGGGGUAGAGGGAAUUUCUAGUGUAGCGGUGAAAUGCGUAGAUAUUAGAAAGAACACCGGUGGCGAAAGCGCUCUACUGGACCAUUACUGACACUCAGAGGCGAAAGCUAGGGUAGCAAAAGGGAUUAGAUACCCCUGUAGUCCUAGCCGUAAACGAUGGAUACUAGAUGUUGUGCAUAAAGUACAGUAUCAUAGCUAACGCGUUAAGUAUCCCGCCUGGGGAGUACGCUCGCAAGGGUGAAACUCAAAGGAAUUGACGGGGGCCCGCACAAGCGGUGGAGCAUGUGGUUUAAUUCGAUGCAACGCGAAGAACCUUACCAGGGCUUGACAUACUACAGAUUCUUUUGAGAAAAAGAAGUGCCUUCGGGAAUGUAGAUACAGGUGGUGCAUGGCUGUCGUCAGCUCGUGUCGUGAGAUGUUGGGUUAAGUCCCGCAACGAGCGCAACCCUUAUUUUUAGUUACUAAUUCGUUAGGUUCUCUAGAAAGACUGCCGGUGACAAACCGGAGGAAGGUGAGGAUGACGUCAAGUCAGCAUGCCCCUUAUGUCCUGGGCUACACACGUGCUACAAUGGUUAAGACAAAGAGUCGCGAGCUCGCGAGAGUCAGCUAAUCUCAUAAACUUAGCCUAAGUUCAGAUUGUAGGCUGCAACUCGCCUACGUGAAG